AAGAAAUUCAUUGCAGCUGCUGACCACUGCACAAGAUUAGAAUGCGACUCUUGUGCGUGUGACAACGGCUAUUAUGGGUUUUCAAAAUCAUUUU
rfam:Anopheles melas strain CM1001059_A cont2.14577, whole genome shotgun sequence.